GGAGGGUGCAAGCAUUAAUCGGGAAUUAUUGGGGCGUAAAGGGCGCGUAGGCGGAUAUGUAAGUCAGAUGUGAAAUACCGAGGGCUUAACCUCGGGUGCUGCAUUUGAAACUACAUAUCUUGAGGAUAGACGGAGAAAACGGAAUUCCACGUGUAGCGGUGAAAUGCGUGGAUAUGUGGAAGAACACCUGUGGCGAAAGCGGUUUUCUAGUUUAUUCCUGACGCUGAGGCGCGAGAGCAAGGGGAGCAAACAGGAUUAGAUACCCUGGUAGUCCUUGCCGUAAACGAUGUAUACUUGAUGUAGUUGGACUCAACCCCGACUGUGUCGUAGCUAACGCGAUAAGUAUACCGCCUGAGGAGUACGCUCGCAAGGGUG
rnacentral:rRNA from 1 species